rnacentral:misc_RNA from 1 species
GGAUGUGUGGCAUAUACACUGGACUCGUCCGCCAAUCUUUGCAGAAGAAGUAUCAUCUUAAGAACUCCCCAUGUGAUCCUUGCAUGACACAUUGUUGCCUGCACUGGUGCGCUCUAUGUCAAGAACACAGGGAGAUGAAGGGACGUCUGACCGAUAACUUUGCGGUGCCAAUGACUAUCGUGAACCCGCCACCGGUUCAAGAAAUGAAGUCGGAAAAUGAUGAUGAAGGCACAACUUCAUCUUCCAACAUGGGCAAUGGGCAGACCAAUUUGGAAAUGCAAGCUUUGUAGAUUCCAUCAUAGAUAAGAUAACCACCACAGCAUACAUUAGAUAGUAG